CGCGGACGGGUAGCCGGCCGGGGAGGUGGUUUUCCCUGGUCAAGCGUGUGGCCCCGCCCCCAGGCAAAUCCGGGGGCAUGAUGGGGUGAGGCGUGAUGAUGGGCGCUUUCAUGGCGUGAUAUCCGGUGAUCCCGUCGGCCGAGAAAAGCUUCGGCGCGAGGUCCGUUGCCGCCCGUACCCCAAACCGACACAGGUGGUCUGGUAGAGUAUACCGAAGCGAUCGAGCGAAUCCUGGUCAAGGAACUCGGCAAAUUGCUCCCGUGCCUUCGGCAUAAGGGAGACCCCCGGCGGUUCCGGCCCCGUUCGCGGGCCGCGGGCGGCUGGGGGUGGCACAGGCCAGGGGGUAGCGACUGUUUACCAAAAACACAGGUGCAUGCCAAGACGCAAGUCGCCGUAUAUGCACUGACGCCUGCCCGGUGCCGGAAGGUUAAGAGGAUCCAUCAGCGUCCCCUCGCGGGAUGCGAAGUGGUGAAUUCAAGCCCCGGUAAACGGCGGUGGUAACUAUAACCUA
rnacentral:rRNA from 1 species